UUGUUUCGGUAGCUACGGGGAGUAGAGAGGGUUUAGCGGCGGUGAUUGGCGGAGCAGUGGGAGCAGGAGGGUGGAGCGGCGGCCGGGAGGGGAGGCAAGGAGGGUAUAGCGACGAGAACUCCGAUGGCCUAGACGGAGUAGGGGGUGGAUGGGGUAGGGAGAGUGUAGGGUAGAGAGAGAGAGAGAGAGAGAGUCACGUCGAGGAGCACCGCGGUGGACGCCGCCAACUAAGUCCGCUGAAGGCCGCUUAGGGCGGUACGGGCUCCAGGGAAGUGUGGCACCGCGCGAGGGUACGUCGAUCUAGACCGCGGGCGCCGAUGGUUUCGGGUGGGCGCUGGAAGGGCGCUACCGAUCCCAAAGCCCGCGGCCGCGGCCGCGGUCACCGGUACAGCAGAAAGAGCAGGCCUCAGACUACCAGUCCAAUAAAUCCACCUCCAUCAUCGAACGAUUACCACCGAAAGUGCAGGUCGAAUUUAUGAUCUCCUGCACCUGGACAAAACCUCCUUCGUGCCUGUGGAAACAAAAUCACUCGUCGUACGUCAAUAAUAUAUACGUGAACCCAGUUCAGUUGCGUCUCCUAAGUAGAUAUAGUUCAUGACUAGAUGAUUAGAUUUUUUUCCAAAGGUUUCUUUCUUUAUGAGUUACGGUAAGUCACGGAAAGUUACACGGUCAGAGAUGUAAGUAUCAUGUAGUGACUCAAAAUGGAAGUUGAUUCUGAUAAAGGCAACACCACUAAUAAACAAAUAAGGAAGUAACGAAUCUAAUCGAGAUUGGUAAAAAGUCGGAGGGAAAGACGAGAAUAAAUUGAUAAAUACAUGAAGGGUUACUACAUGGAUAACAACACACAUUAAAUUACACUCCACGGUGUGAGUAGGCAAGGCCGUGAUAGCUCUACCUCCGGUUGUGGAACCUGCCGACCUCGACGAUCAUCUAAACAGGUUCUAUGCCGUCACAAGUAUCAGUAUCAAGACUAAGUUUUUUAUAUACUUGUUAGUACCCACGUACCGUUCAUAUGAUGUUACUACUACUAAUACUACAAGACCAAGUGCUACUACUGCUACUACAAACAAAAGUCAAAAUCAAUCCAACAUCCCUACAACAAGGAGCCAAUUCAAAAUCAAUUCAACAUCCCUACAACUACCUACAACAGUCAAAUUCAAAACGACAAUUCUCUUAUAAAUCUAACACGUAAUGUAAACCUACAAUAAGGAGGACAUUAUAGUUGAUAACAUUAGGGUGUUAAAAAAGGUUAUAUACUAGAGAAGGAGACC
rnacentral:rRNA from 1 species